CUUUCGUAUGGGUAGGGAGCAUAUCGUGCCUUCUGUAGAGACAUCAAGGAACAGAGUGACUGGCACAGAAUGUGUUCCGGUCAUAUACGUGAAGCC
rnacentral:tRNA from 1 species